rnacentral:rRNA from 1 species
UUUGCUGGCGACCGGCGCACGGGUGAGUAACACGUAUCCAACCUGCCCUUUACUCGGGGAUAGCCUUUCGAAAGAAAGAUUAACACCCGAUAGUAUAAUGAUUCCGCAUGGUUUCAUUAUUAAAGGAUUCCGGUAAAGGAUGGGGAUGCGUUCCAUUAGGUUGUUGGUGAGGUAACGGCUCACCAAGCCUUCGAUGGAUAGGGGUUCUGAGAGGAAGGUCCCCCACAUUGGAACUGAGACACGGUCCAAACUCCUACGGGAGGCAGCAUG